ensembl:lncRNA
CUUAUAUUGAUAUGUGUUCCAGUCUUGGCCAUGUAUGGUUUUAUGUCUUUGUUUUGUUUUCUAAGUUGUCUCUUUUUUUGGCUCUCCCACAGCAUACGGAGUUCCUGAGCCAUGGAUCCGCUCCAAGCCACAGCUGUGACCGACACUAAAGCUGUGGCAAUGCUGGAUUCUUUAACCACUGUGCCGACUGGGGAUUGAACCUGCAUCCUGGCACUGCAGAGAUGCUGUCAAUUCUUUGUGCCACAGUGAGAACUCCUGCUUUCUAAAUUGUCUUUAAGCUAUUUGUUAAUUCUAUGGAACCAGACUAUUCAAACUCUCCACCAAAUCUUCAAUCCACCAACAGCAUCAGAUGGAAUUCCUGAGUCCUGCUUCAGCCAUAGAAGAAAGCUCCCUGAGACCAGGGCACUGCUCAGCAAUGCAUGGCCAGUCACAGGAAGAACCACACCUGGGUACCUUCACAUCAUGGAUUUUCCAGAAGCUACUGGCCUGGAGAGAUUUGAUCUUUCCUUGGUGCGUCCUUUCUCAGCUUACAUGGAAGGUGCCACCCGCUUUCCUACUUCAAGAUGCUCCUGGAUGCCAGUCCUGUCUUCUCCAGACAUUCCAUUUUGAGCUUAAUGGAAGUGGUGCCGCUGAAUUCAGAUCUACUGAGAGGGGCUGGAAUGCUUACGGAAGGGGUAGACUUUUGGGGAUAUUUUGAAUCAGGUUAUGCUAACCCCAACUCUGGAGAAACCUCUGACUCUGAAAUAACAAAAGGAAUAGGGGACAAGGUUUUAAAACCCUACUCAACCCUCUGACACAGUAAC